rnacentral:rRNA from 1 species
GACGAGCGCUGGCGGCGUGCUUAACACAUGCAAGUCGAACGGAAAGGCCCUGCUUGUGUGGGGUGCUCGAGUGGCGAACGGGUGAGUAACACGUGAGUAACCUUGCCUUGACUGUGUGAUAACUUCAGGAAACUGGUGCUAAUACCUGAUAGGAGCUCGUGCUGCAUGGUGGGGGUUGGAAAGUUUCGGCGGUUGGGGAUGGACUCGCGGCUUAUCAGCUUGUUGGUGGGGUAGUGGCUUACCAAGGCUUUGACGGGUAGCCGGCCUGGGAGGGUGACCGGCCACAUUGGGACUGAGAUACGGCCCAGACUCCUACGGGAGGCAGCAGUGGGGAAUAUUGCACAAUGGGCGGAAGCCUGAUGCAGCAACGCCGCGUGCGGGAUGACGGCCUUCGGGUUGUAAACCGCUUUCGCCUGUGACGAAGCGUGAGUGACGGUAAUGGGUAAAGAAGCACCGGCUAACUACGUG